ensembl:lncRNA
CUGUUCAAACCCUUACUAUCCUACAAGUUCUCCCUUAAAGUACAUAAGUUCAGAAUGUGGAUAUGAGCUCUUCUCCAGCAAUUCCAACUUUGAGCAUUCCUCCCCAUGGCCUGCCUUUUCUAACACAAACAAAGAGGCCUAUUUAUAGACUUCAUGACUCAUUGGUCAUUUGCUGCUCUACAGCACCACCACUGUUCUGUGCCAUCUGGCAAACAUUUCUAACUGCGUCAAGAGUAUAAGAGCUCAACUCAGAGAGGACAUUUGCUGAGAAACCAGAGUUGGGCUACAAGACAUUGUAGGCUACCAAGAGUUGAAAUGGGUCUUCCAGCCUUGGGUCUGAUACCGUUUUUGGGGCCCCUUGCGUUUCCAGUAGCAUUGGGAACAGUCGCAGUAGGGGGCUUUAUAUUGAUUAAGGCGAUUCAUAAGAAACCUUCAUAUCAUCCAGGAAGUCCCAUAAUAACACGUUCCGUGAAGGUAAAGUCAAAUGAAGCUUCUGGAAAUGAACCCACUGGAAAUGCUGCCAGCAAGAAGACAGAAGGACAGCCGAGCAGCAAUGAAACUACCAUCAUAAUUGCUUACGGCCUUGGAGUGGUUGACACUUAUAAAAAUGUUAAAAAAGGUAGACCAUCUCAGUUUGGUCUGGGUAACUUUGGCAUGGCAGAGGCAGACCAUAUUCCACCAUUGGCUUCUCUGAGGAUAGCCCGAAACCAUGAACGACUGGAUCGUCUCCUACAAGUGAAUCCAAGGCUUCAUGAGAUGAUCAUGAGCCUUGAUUAUGACCCAACUGGACAGAACCUGUUAACCAUGAGGGUUCUUUACCAGGAUCACAGAGAUGCUCUGACUACUGGAAACAGCAGGGAAUCUCAAGUAUCCAGUCAUCUGCUGGCAGAGACAAUCGUAGACGGAGAUGCUGCACUUAUGCUGAGGAAGGCUUUUAUCAUGGGUCAUCCUAUAUCUUCCUGGCAGCUCAGAGAAGACGCAGGAUUGGCCGCACCAUAUACCGAUGGUAACAUUGACAUGUCUGAUGAAGGAACAAGGCACUACUACAGAUGUGGCUACAUUGAGCUGGUCGAAGCGUACCACAGGAAGGGGAUAAUCAACAAGAAUCAAGCAAAACAGCUCAUUUCAUGGGUGGAAAAAGAGAUGCACCUGGACCGGGAUACCCAAGAGUAUAAGGAGAUCCUUGAUUACAUUAAACGUCAUGUUCGUGUUUUCCGGUGGUAGAAAUGGCAAACAAACUCAGACAACACAGAGUAAAUACAGAUUGUGUAAUCUAACAUGCUGACCAGACCGGACACGUCGCGCGCGCGUCGCAAAAUACAUUUAGAAAUACAUUUAUGUACGAUAGCGCACGUGCAUAGAUGUUUGGGUCCGUGUAACGGGAGUUCCCAAGUAAAAAACGUUUCUAUGAUAUGCAAAUUAUGGAAUUCAGUAUAGUUGGAUUCUAGUUUGAAAUAUACUAAUUCAUGUUGCCAUUCUAGAACUCAUUGAUUAAUUUGCAUGUAUAAGGAAAGCAUAUGCUGGGGUCAAGGAAGGGUAGAUAGGGAUUUAUGGAAAGUUACAGUGUAGAAAGUUCAUAUUCUGCUCCAUGUUUCUAAGGAGGGAGUCGAAGGGCAAUAGUCUCUGAUAAGGCAGGCCAGCUGAGAAACUAGGGAGGGGCGAGGAAUGCAUCUUGAGGUCAAGUCAACAAAUGAAGUGAUAAGAAAACUCUGGGAGGCAGGCCAGAGAGACCCACCACAAUGACUCUCCUACUUAUGAGGAUUCUGUGUUAUGCACUAUAGCCUGUUACCAUAUAUGUGAUUGAAUAUUAUCUGCUGUUGGCUUGUGUGGAUGUAUGUAGGUGUUAUGCAACAUAGCUGAUUUGAAACAUUGUUAACAGUUUCAGGACCAUGGGCCUUUCUCAUGAUGGAAAAAUACAAAAUAACAUAAAAACGGACACAUACAGAACAUAGUGUAGCAAACCACAGACUGUUUUUGUUACAACUCAAACUUAACAAUAACAGAAACCAGAUAUGUGAUAACGGUAUCUAGGGAAUGAGCGCAUAGAUACUCGACACAGCAAGUUACAUCUAUCAACUGGAGCGCCCGGGGGCUGGUACCAGCUCGUACGACAACAAUCAACGAUAGGCUGGGUGAGUUUAAACCACGCCCAGUCUCUACUCUGACAGGCCGGCUCGGAAGCCGGAACUACUACUGUCACCAGGGUAUAUUAUAAUAUCUUUGUCAGGAACAAGUCAGUUCUCUGUUUUGCCCUGCGAGGUGGGACAGAGAGCUUGUAUAUACGAAAAUUGCAUUUACCAUUUAUUGCUUAGCUACUAAAAAAUACAUAGUAUACAAUCGGCGACUCAUUGUCAUAUUUAUCCUGAUACCAGAUUCGAAUUGACGCAACUCUAACAUACUGCAGUCCUAUUUCACACAUAUACUUCCAUGCAUGAAGGUUUUAGUAUCAGGCAGUGCUAUAACUACACCAGUGAGAGGGACAAUUGCGUUUCUGCCUAGCAACAGCGAUGUAUUGGCUGUCUAGAUGUGUAAGGACAUUAUCCCACAUAUUAGAAGGUAAUAAAUAUAUCUGCUUGUGUAAUCAUGCCUUGUCUUUGCAGCUGUAUGACCCAGUGGGUGAAUAAACUUGGUUUGAGCUUUGUGUAGUCGUCCGUUUGAGUUUUUGCUCCGUUUGUUCAGAAUCUAACAGUAUAAAUAUCAUAAUGAGGAGUAUAAUUUAUUGUUCAUAAUUGUUGCAACGUUUUUUUGGCCUACUGUAUAGUCUGUGCCUGGUUGAUUAUGUUCAGCAGUGUACUAGUAGUAGAUCCAGUCUGCCUGUUGCAUUUGGUAAAUGUACAGCCUAUAGAUUCUCUGCAAAAUGUUUAGAUUUCCUGAUUCUCUGCAGUUAUUGUAACAUUAUGCAGUGUGCACUAGCUCAAUGCCUGGGAAAACCGUCAUUAAAAUAUCAUCUAUUUUGGAAGCAGCAGACAGUGAGUGGACAUUACUUUCUUAUUUGUAUUAAAUCUUCUGUUUGUCGUGUGUAAAGUUUAGCUGUUUGUAAAACCCUCUACUUCCACAGAUCCUUCAUCUACCUGAAGAGUGCAGUAGCAGGUGUCCACCUGUUGAUGGUGCCGUCCUCCUUCAUAAUACAACUCUGAGGUCCUGGUAAAUAAAUGUGAUCAACGCUGCUGUGUGUUUUGUCCAUAAUUAUGACACACCAAUGGACAAUUGUAAUGAUGUACGCUGAGAGUCAGAUUAAAAAGGCCAUGAAAAGAGACAA